UUGCUUGGAAAUGCAGCCCAAAGUAGGUGGUAAACUCCAUAUAAAGCUAAAU
rnacentral:rRNA from 1 species